rnacentral:rRNA from 1 species
GACCAACGCUGGCGGCGUGCUUAACACAUGCCAGUCGAACGGAAAGGCCCUGCUUUUGUGGGGUGCUCGAGUGGCGAACGGGUGAGUAACACGUGAGUAACCUGCCCUUGACUUUGGGAUAACUUCAGGAAACUGGGGCUAAUACCGGAUAGGAGCUCCUGCUGCAUGGUGGGGGUUGGAAAGUUUCGGCGGUUGGGGAUGGACUCGCGGCUUAUCAGCUUGUUGGUGGGGUAGUGGCUUACCAAGGCUUUGACGGGUAGCCGGCCUGAGAGGGUGACCGGCCACAUUGGGACUGAGAUACGGCCCAGACCCCUACGGGAGGCAGCAGUGGGGAAUAUUGCACAAUGGGCGGAAGCCUGAUGCAGCAACGCCGCGUGCGGGAUGACGGCCUUCGGGUUGUAAACCGCUUUCGCCUGUGACGAAGCGUGAGUGACGGUAAUGGGUAAAGAAGCACCGGCUAACUACGUG